CUGCGGCUUGGGCACCGCGUCCGCUACCUUCUCCUCGUCCUCCUCGCCCUCCUCCUCGCCGCCCGGCGGCUCCAGCGCCUCGGCGCCCUCCAGCAGCUCCUCGCCCUCCUCCUCCUCGCCCUCCUCCUCGCCCUCGCGGAAUUCCACCUCGGCCACCAGGUAGCUACGGCGCAGCCCCAGGAUCUUGCCCCAGAAGCGGCACGUGUGCACCGGCUGCUGCUCCACCAGCUGCUUCAGCGCCAGAGACAGGGUCUGGAUCCCGUUGCCUCAGCCUCCUGUGUGCUGGGAUUACAGGAAUGCACCAGCAAACCCGGCUACAUGGUGGGCUUUCGAAAGUGAUUGGUCGGGAGAGGCUGAGCACUGGGGCUGUGCCCAGGAAGGGUGUCUUUCCUUCCCCAGGUUUCCUGAUCCACUAUCCCUACCCACCUUGAGGCAGCCACCUAUGGACUAGAAAUGCGGGCCAAAGGAACCCUGUUUUCCUCCUAUUUAUUGGUGCUGGGAUUGCAUCUCAGCAAUGUGAGUAACCGGAACACCUGUUGUUGGAGACCCAGGAGUGAGGGUUAAGCCUCGGAGCACAGGGACCUCUGGCUGUGCUGGAAAAGCACAGACACACAGAGCUCAGGAUGAGCACAGCUGAGGCAGCCAAGGACACGGGCUGCUGACACCCGUUCCAGAGCAAUAGAGCCGCUGACCUCAGAAAGCAGAGUCCUCUUCACUGGCACAAUUUACACUUAGAGAAGUCUUUGAACGGACUCCCAAGGUCCUGCUCUGUCCCUAGGCUUGCCUCAGGAUCCCCUCCCUUUGUUUGAAAACCAAAUAAAUAUGGGCCACCUCGUG